rnacentral:rRNA from 1 species
CCUACGGGAGGCAGCAGUGGGGAAUAUUGCUCAAUGGAGGAAACCCUGAAGCAGCAACGCCGCGUGAGGGAUGAAGGCUUUCUGUGUGUAAAGCUCUAUCAGCAGGGAAGUGAACUACGUUACCUGACUAAUAUUGCCCGUCUAACUACGUUCCAGCAGCCGCGGUAAUACGUAGGGUGCGAGCGUUAUCCGGAUUUACUGGGUGUAAAGGGAGCGUAGACGGUUUUGCAAGUCUGAAGUGAAAGCCCGUGGCUUAACCGCGGAACGGCAUUGGAAACUGGGGAACUGGAGUGCUGGAGAGGCAAGCGGAAUUCGUGGUGUAGCGGUGAAAUGCGUAGAUAUCAGGAGGAACACCAGUGGCGAAGGCGGCUUGCUGGACCGUAACUGACGUUGAGGCUCGAAGGCGUGGGUAGCGAACAGGAUUAGAUACCCGUGUAGUC